rnacentral:rRNA from 1 species
GACGAACGCUGGCGGCGUGCUUAACACAUGCAAGUCGAACGGUGAAAGGGAGCUUGCUCCCUGGAUCAGUGGCGAACGGGUGAGUAACACGUGGGCAACCUGCCCCAGACUUCGGGAUAACGCUUCGAAAGAGGUGCUAAUACCGGAUACGAACUCCUUGGGCAUCCUUGGAGUUGGAAAGUUUUUCGGUCUGGGAUGGGCCCGCGGCCUAUCAGCUUGUUGGUGAGGUAACGGCUCACCAAGGCGACGACGGGUAGCCGGCCUGAGAGGGCGACCGGCCACACUGGGACUGAGACACGGCCCAGACUCCUACGGGAGGCAGCAGUGGGGAAUAUUGCGCAAUGGGCGAAAGCCUGACGCAGCAACGCCGCGUGAGGGAUGACGGCCUUCGGGUUGUAAACCUCUUUCAGCAGGGAAGAAGCGAAAGUGACGGUACCUGCAGAAGAAGCACCGGCUAACUACGUGCCAGCCGCCGCAGUAAUAC